rnacentral:rRNA from 1 species
CGGGUGAGUAACACGUGGGUGAUCUGCCCUGCACUUCGGGAUAAGCUUGGGAAACUGGGUCUAAUACCGGAUAGGACUACGGACUGCAUGGUCUGUGGUGGAAAGCUUUUGCGGUGUGGGAUGGGCCCGCGGCCUAUCAGCUUGUUGGUGGGGUGAUGGCCUACCAAGGCGACGACGGGUAGCCGGCCUGAGAGGGUGUCCGGCCACACUGGGACUGAGAUACGGCCCAG